rnacentral:rRNA from 1 species
AACGAACGCUGGCGGCAUGCCUAACACAUGCAAGUCGAACGAGACCUUCGGGUCUAGUGGCGCACGGGUGCGUAACGCGUGGGAACCUGCCCUUAGGUUCGGAAUAACUCCCCGAAAGGGGUGCUAAUACCGGAUAAUGUCUUCGGACCAAAGAUUUAUCGCCUUUGGAUGGGCCCGCGUUGGAUUAGCUAGUUGGUAGGGUAAAAGCCUACCAAGGCGACGAUCCAUAGCUGGUCUGAGAGGAUGAUCAGCCACACUGGGACUGAGACACGGCCCAGACUCCUACGGGAGGCAGCAGUGGGGAAUAUUGGACAAUGGGCGAAAGCCUGAUCCAGCAAUGCCGCGUGAGUGAUGAAGGCCUUAGGGUUGUAAAGCUCUUUUACCCGGGAUGAUAACGACAGUACCGGGAGAAUAAGCGCCGGCUAACUCCGUG